GAUUAAAGAUUUAUCGGUGAUGGAUGGGGAUGCGUCUGAUUAGCUUGUUGGCGGGGUAACGGCCCACCAAGGCGACGAUCAGUAGGGGUUCUGAGAGGAAGGUCCCCCACAUUGGAACUGAGACACGGUCCAAACUCCUACGGGAGGCAGCAGUGAGGAAUAUUGGUCAAUGGGCGAGAGCCUGAACCAGCCAAGUAGCGUGCAGGAUGACGGCCCUAUGGGUUGUAAACUGCUUUUAUAAGGGAAUAAAGUGAGUCUCGUGAGACUUUUUGCAUGUACCUUAUGAAUAAGGACCGGCUAAUUCCGUGCCAGCAGCCGCGGUAAUACGGAAGGUCCGGGCGUUAUCCGGAUUUAUUGGGUUUAAAGGGAGCGUAGGCCGGAGAUUAAGCGUGUUGUGAAAUGUAGACGCUCAACGUCUGCACUGCAGCGCGAACUGGUUUCCUUGAGUACGCACAAAGUGGGCGGAAUUCGUGGUGUAGCGGUGAAAUGCUUAGAUAUCACGAAGAACUCCGAUUGCGAAGGCAGCUCACUGGAGCGCAACUGACGCUGAAGCUCGAAAGUGCGGGUAUCGAACAGGAUUAGAUACCCUGGUAGUCCGCACGGUAAACGAUGGAUGCCCGCUGUUGGUCUGAAUAGGUCAGCGGCCAAGCGAAAGCAUUAAGCAUCCCACCUGGGGAGUACGCCGGCAACGGUGAAACUCAAAGGAAUUGACGGGG
rnacentral:rRNA from 1 species